AUUGAACGCUGGCGGCAGGCCUAACACAUGCAAGUCGAACGAGUGGCGGACGGGUGAGUAAUGUCUGGGAAACUGCCUGAUGGAGGGGGAUAACUACUGGAAACGGUAGCUAAUACCGCAUACCAUCGGAUUUGCCCAGAUGGGAUUAGCUUGUUGGUGGGGUAACGGCUCACCAAGGCGACGAUCCCUAGCUGGUCUGAGAGGAGGACCAGCCACACGGGAACUUAGACACGGUCAAGACGCCUACGGGAGGCAGCAGUGGGGAAUAUGGCACAAUGGGCGCAAGCAUGAUGCAGCCAUGCCGCGUGUAUGAAGAAGGCCUUCGGGUUGUAAAGUACUUUCAGCGGGGAGGCGUUACCCGCAGAAGAAGCACCGGCUAACUCCGUGCCAGCCGCCGCGGUAAUUC
rnacentral:rRNA from 1 species